rnacentral:rRNA from 1 species
UACGUAGGGCGCGAGCGUUGUCCGGAAUCAUUGGGCGUAAAGCGCUCGCAGGCGGCUUGCUACGUCGUGCGUGAAACACCCCGGCUCAACUGGGGAGGGUCGUGCGAUACGGGCAGGCUGGAGGCCAGUAGGGGGAUGCGGAAUUCCGGGUGUAGUGGUGGAAUGCGUAGAGAUCCGGAGGAACACCAGCGGCGAAGGCGGCAUCCUGGACUGGUACUGACGCUCAGGAGCGAAAGCGUGGGGAGCGAUCCGG